rnacentral:lncRNA from 1 species
UGAAAGUUUUGCCAGUAUGUCUCUCAUCUCUAUGCAUGUCCAACUACAUCUGCAACAUCAUUUGCUCACUAUACCAACACGAGUUAUAUGAUCAUUGCACAAAUAGAUAAGAGUGAUUUAACCAUAACAUACAAUCAUUGAACACACUCACCCUAUAUAUCAUUAUUAUUUAUACACACAAUUAUUUCCAUGUCAUUAACUUACUUGAUUAUAUCUUUUAUUUCCCCUAACAUACCGCCCCGUGACUCCUCCUAAAAUCACCCUUCUUCUUUCCAUUAACCUUACCAAUAUAUUAUGCUUACUCCCGAAGCCUUAUGGUCAAGUUACUCUCUGCCUACUUCCAAAGGCCUUACAAGUAUACUAUGCUUACUCUCUGAAGCCUUAUGGUUAGACUGCUCUCUGCUUGCUUCUAAAGACUUACGAGGACCCUGCUUCCAUAAGCCUCCCGAGUUACUCUACUUAUGCUUAAAGUCUUAUGAUGGAAACCAAAUACACUACUACCAGAUUUACAGUUACAGUAAUAAAGACUUAUACCUCAUUUAAUAGCUAACAAUUUCUCUUAUUCAUUCAUCAUCACAUAAUCAACAAAUCAUAUCACCUAGUGCUGUCAAAAUGGGCCACCCGGCCUGACCCAGCCCGACCCACCAUGGGUUAGUCACUUAGUGAGCCAACCCAACCCGACCAUUUAUUAGCG